CCUGGCCUAUUCCCAACCUUAAACAAAGAACGCGAAAGCCUGAAGCCCUAAACUUCAGUUCCUCGAUCUUCCUCCCCCCGCUCUCGCGUUCUCUCCUCUGUCCUACCGGUCUCUUCUCGCUCUCCCGGUCUCCAUUCGUCCGUCGUCCGUCAUCCUGAGCAGUGAGCUCUCUCCGAGCUUCGUGGGUCUGUGGGUCUAGCUCGUCUUCGACCUCCGACAGAGGCUCUCCCUCCCGCCCCACCCGAUUCAGAGAAGAAAAGGAGCAAUAAAAGAUGUCAUAUGAUGAUGUGGAGAUUGAGGACAUGGAGUGGAACGAGGAGCUCCAGGCUUAUACGUACCCUUGUCCAUGUGGUGACCUCUUCCAGAUCACAAAGGAAGACCUUAAGCUAGGCGAAGAGAUUGCACGAUGCCCUAGUUGCUCCCUGUAUAUCACUGUCAUAUAUAACAUUGAGGAUUUUCUUGACGAUCAAAAUUCUAAGAAUCAUCUCGAGCCGCCAAAGCAACAAGCCAUUACCAUCGCCUAAAUUGCAGGUUCUUAAUAAUUUUUACGACCCCUGCUAUCUUUUGAUUGAUUCGGUUUUUUCCAACUUUUUUCCUUUUCAGUAUCCAAGAGUUUAAUUAAUGUGCUUCUUUAGGGUCUUUGCAGCCCCCCAAAAUAUAUAUAUGUAUAUACAUUAUACAUGUCAUGUAUCUGAUUUCGAAUUCAGCUGGUUUGAUUGUCAAAACUUGGUGAUCCUCUUCUUUUAUUGACAUCCUGGGAUUGCUUUCUGGUUUUUUUUUUCUGGCUUGGCUAGUCAUGGAGGCAAUUAUACUAACGUGUAAUCUAGUUAACAGUACAAACUAGGUUUUGUUUAGGCCUGUAGAGUGUAGAUGUAGAGUGUGGAACAAAAAGGUGCAAUUGACUGCUUAAUAUGUUGCCUUUAAGGUCUGUCUGCUACCCCUUCCCCGCCAAAAAGAAUCCCAAAAAAAUCUCAAUCUCUCUCUUUUUUUUGGCCUGAAUCUCUCCCUUCUUAAUUAUUCAUUGGGCAUGAUAUAUGUGGAAAACAAGAGGGCAAAGAUGGUAGUAAGAGUUUAAGUUUUCAUUCACUGACUUUAAACGGAUUAUUGUGCUUGUUCUGUUAAUUGAAUUGUAUAAUAGCAUCAGUAAGCUUUUCCUGGUUUUUAUCCUUGAAAUCGCUAUGUACUUCCCGAAAAGAGAAAAAAAAAAAAAAGAGCACUCGUGUGUUAUAGAUGACAGUGAUGUACAGGGAUUUGUACUCUCUAAGAACCAGGACAGCACCAUUAGUCUUGAUUUUCCUGAAUCAUCGUGCAUGCGGAUGGUUUAAGAAAGAAACAUGAGAGGUUUCAAGGUGGUGAAAGCCGAAAGAUAGGUUGAUAUAUUGCAAUUACAAAACUUGGUACUGCAUGUUGAUUGGUAAAGAAUAGUAAAUGGUUACGCUUCUUCCGGGUAUAGGACUGAAUGCUUUGGCUUGCAGAUGUUCUGAAACGGAGGCAGCUAUAGAUUUUUUGGUGUGGCAUCAUUGAUCAUAGCAUACACAAACCAUUUCUUGCAGACAGGAAUUUUUUAUUUGAGACUUGAGAUGAAAAAGGAGAGAGAACUAUUAUAAUAUAAUGUAGUUUAACAAGAAUACUGUUUUUUUAUUAGAAUUAUUCAUUAUCCAUACUCUAGUAGUGAAAAGUGAGCCCUGUGGGGUAGCCUCAAGAAUUUUGUUGCAUUAUUCCUUUAGCCCGAGGUUAUUUAAACGACAAAUUGUGUACUAGCUGGAUCUUGCGCGUGCCACUCUGUUGAAGGAUUGUAAUGGAGGACGCCAAUGGAAAUGGCCAAGCCUUCUAUGCUUUAUGAACAAGUCCUUCCUUUUCCUGUG